ACCAGGAAGUAGUUUGCAGUGCCAUUUAUCACCGUGGUUCGUUUCAUUCAACAUGGAGAUAGCAUAUUGGUAGGACAUUAAUGUACCUUGAGAACACAAUUAUUUAUGAGUAUAUCAACCACAUGGCCUGAAAGCGUUUAUCUGAACCGCUUGCUAUAAACAAAUCGCCUUUAAAAAUGAGCACGAACGCAGGAUGUGUGUUAUCUGGUCACCAGUCCGUUGAGAGGCUGCAUGUUGGCGGCAAUACCAAAAGUAAAUACGGGGUCUUUCAACUAGAGGAGGACAUCCUACAGCCAUUUGCUGAAUGCAAAAAUAAGAUGGACAACUGUAGCAUCGUUUCCCUUUCCAAAGAAGAGCGUAUGUCGGCAAUCGAGCGGGUGGUGAAAACCGCAGUCGAGACUGUUGUGUACGUUAUUACCAGGCUGAACGAUUGCACCAUCCGCGAUCUGCAGCUGAGGAUCGCUGAAAAGGAGAAAGAAAACGAACUGCUGAAAAUCCGGAUGGAACUGACCGAGAGAGAGCUGACUGGACGUAUUCACCGUCUGACCGCACAGAAUGCAGCUGUUACCAAGAAUAAAAGAUCUGAUGAUCCAGCAAGCGAGAGGCGGUUAGCCAAGCAGCUUGUAGGUUUACCGGCGGAGCAGGGGGGCUUGUCUCCCGCCGUCACGGAGGUAGAGAACAGUGCCGUAGAAAGUGAUACGGAGCAGGAGGUGCUUGCUGACAGUGAUUUCUCUGGUGCAGAAGAGGGACUCCAAGGAGAGAAACUUGCCUGUGUCAAAAACGAACCCCUUGAUUGGAAUUUUUUUGAAGUUACCUUGGUCAACGGACCUGUACCACCUGAACAAAACUGUGGCUUGUUACAACCAGGAUCAAAUUCAAAUAGCCGUAAUGUUUUUGAAGUAGAAUCAACAUCUAUUAAAGAUGAAUCCAUGGAUGCACGGCCUGUCAUUAUCAAAGAGGAGGCAAAUGAUUGUGAAGGUCUGGAUGUAUCAUGGGAAGUUUCUAAAGGAGGUAGUUCAAACUGCAUCCAGGAAGAAGGUCUUAAUAAAGAAUUACUUUUAAAACACAAUUCUGUGCACAUACAUCCAGGCCUUCCAAAAGAAUUUUGUUAUGAUUUAAUAAAAGAAGGCAGAGACUGGAUAUUUAAAAAUGGCAAUUUUGGAAGUGGGACUAAUUUUUAUCAACAUGAGGGACCAAUGUACUCCUACAGCUCAGUAACACAGAAAAUGAACAAGGUGUCUGCAACAGAAAUGCAACAUUGUUACCUGGGAAGACUUAAAGCAGGCACAGAGAGGGGAAGGAUGCAGAAAGGGAAAGAUCAAAACAGGUUUACCCUUUGUGCUAACAAAACAAAGAACACUGCACUUUCAGAACAGUAUAAUCCAGAGCAAGGUGUUUCUAGAGCUGCCCUGAGACAAAGGAGGUAUAGAGAGAGCUUACAAAGAAAUGGGGUCUAUGAAGAGUACAAGAGGCAGCAAGCACUCCGUUCAGCUGCUUGGCGGCGGCGUGAAAAGACAGAAGAAGAGAGAGAAAGAGAGAGAGCACUGGCAAGAAUAAGGGCAAGACGUUACAGAGAGAGACUGAAAGCUGCGGUUGGAUGUAUAAAAAAAUCAACAACCACCUAAAUGGCCACCUGAGUAGUGUUCAGUUAUGUAAUUUAUUUACAUAGUAGCAUCUAGCAUAGAAUGGAAUAUGUAUAGGAAAUAAUCAAACUGUGUAUAUAAUGUGUAUUUGAUUCACCAGUAAUGACAGUUAUUUUUUUUUUUAACACAAAUGCUCAGAUUGUUGCCAUCACCUUUUACCUUUAAAACUGUGGUCUUUUUUCCAAACUUGGUUACUGUAUUAUCAUACCUUCAGUGCUACCGUUUAUUUAUUAUAAAUUAUUGCCAGCUUUUGUUGUAAACAAACUGAUUUGUAAGUAGAUGUACAGUCCUACUUGAGAGUUUGAGAACUUGUAAAACUGUUACUUUUUAUUAAUGAAUUUCUUGUUGAAUCAAAAUGACACCUUCCCUUUCAAAAGAAAAAAGUCUGUAUACCCUGAAAUUCUAUUUAUUGUUUAAAAAAAAGAUAUGCUAAAUAGAAUAAAAAUUACUUCAUAUUAAUUAGCUAAUGUGGAAGAAGUAAGAAAAUCGUUUAUUUCGUCAGUACAUUCCAGCCUAUGACAAAAAUGUUCCUUCUUUACAUCUGCCUUUCUUACAAAUUUGCUUGAACUACUCCAGAAUUAUUGAGUGUUUUGGGUUAAAGACAACCCUUAGGUCUUGACAAAAUAUUUCAAUCAAGUUGUAGUCUGGACUUUGUCAUUCCAGAAUACAGUAUUUUUCUCUCACAAUCCAUUGUAGAUAGAUUUAAUCAAUUGCUAAGGAUCAUUUUUCUGCUGAAUUCUUCUAACUUUCAGCCUGAAUCAUAUGAUUAUGGACAUCUUCAGAACAAAAAUCAAAAAUGAAUGUUUUGUUUGGAAUAACAAAUGUAAAUUUUCUUGUUGCUGUCCUGUGUAGUUUUGAAUGAUGUUCAUCAUCUUAAGUAGUAACACUGUUUUGCUUACUAUUUGUCUUUUAGUGUACUUAAAUUACAAAUGUUUUUUGCAAUUUCUCUUAACCCUAUCACACUAAUGAGCAUUAACAAAACUGUUCAAGAAUCCUCUUUAGCUGGUCUUAUGGUAUAUCACAGAAAUCUGUGUAGGACCAAAUUCAGAUGUUUUCUCUUAACCUUAAACCGAGUACUGGUGUGAUCAUGUUCAUACAGAAUAAGGUUUCAUGCUCAUCUGCCUGUAGCAAUUCUGAAAAGGUUAAUGUUUCAUCGGCUAUGAUUUCAGGAAACACACUUUAACAAUGUAAUAAAAGACAAUUUCAGUUGCAUAAAAGCAAUAUUGAAGGGUCAGGAUAGGAGAUGGAUAAUACAUGCACAUCAUAGUUCGUUCUGCUAUUUGAGAUUUUGGGAUUAGAGUUCUUCCACCAGCUCAAUGCUUCCCUGUUCCUAAAUGGCUCACUAUCUCUCACCCUUUCACCACCUAAUAGCUGAUGUAUGAUGAGCAUCCUGGCGCAAUUAUGGUUGCCAUCCCAUCAUCCAGGUGGAUGCUGCACAUUGGUGAUGUUUGCGCUUAGAGUAGUAGCACUUUAUAAAUCUAAUGACUAAACAAGUUUUCCAGUCUUUUCUGGUGAAUUUUUUUUUUUUUAUACCAAAAAUCCUGUUUCAUUCCACCCUGCAAUUACACUCCCACAUUAUAGAGUACCUUUUGCUAUUAAGAUAGUAAAACAUGACUGUUCACCUUUAAUUUAGUAGAAUGUCUCUGAGAUUCUGUCCCAGAAGUUGGCUGUUUGGUUGGUUAACUUAUGUUAUACUUAACCAUGGUCACUUUUAUAUUAUAUGUACCAUGUUGUCCUAGCUAAUGAACUCUACUUACUGUACUUUUGCUGAUGAACUAGUUCUUAUUUUCCUGUUUGUUUCUUUUGCCUGCAACAGUACAUCAUUUUUAUUUUCAAAAAUUUGAAACUAGUUUUAAUUAAAUAAAUAGUUGAAUGGGAAAAUGUGCCAUUGCAAUGAAUUUUACUAAUAUCUUCUGUAGUACUAGGGUGUUGUACCGUGUUAGCCAUUAUGAAUGUAGAGAAAAGCCAAGCAAAAUGACACCUUUUAUUGGCUAACUAGAAAGAUUACAAUAUGCAAGCUUUCGAGGCAACUCAGGCCCCUUCUUCAGGCAAGAUGCUUGCAUAUUGUAAUCUUUCUAGUUAGCCAAUAAAAGGUGUCAUUUUGCUUGGCUUUUCUCUACUAAUAUCUUCCAAACUUUAAUGCAGAAUGACAUGUGUCUAAUAUUUUUUUUUGUAGUUUUACAUAAUCAGCAUUAAUAAUCAUUGUGAAUUUCCCACUUUUAAUCAAAUUAUCUUCUUUUUAUUUUUUUUUUUCCAAAAUUUGAUUAAUUCCCUCAUUUAGCCCUUAAAUUUUGCCGUUUUUUCUAACUGUGCUAAAUGAUCACAGGUAAUAAUGGAAUUAGCAGUUUCUCUUUAGAUUACAAUGACACACCUAUAACUUUACAGAAUACUUUGGACAGAAAGGAAAUAUAAGGAGUGGAGUUCUGUAAACAUUUCUUAAACUUUCACAGUGAGGUAAGGACCAAAUACAGAUUUCUAGAGUUGCGUCUUUGUAAGAAGCAGACAAAACAAGUGAAUAUCAGUUAAAUGUUCAAGUACAGGUGAAGUUGACAUCAAAUAUGCAUGACAAUGUUGGAUUAAAUAAAAAACCUCAAGCAUCUUUGACACACUCUAAGCAAUUUUAUAUUUAUUGUGGAAAUUCAAAAUGCAUAAGUUUCUCCAACUGUUCAUUCUACACAGAUUUGCAUUAUAAUUAACAUACUUUGAAUUGUAGCACUACGCAUAUUGUUUAGAAAUCAUAACCCUAAUUUCACUGUUCUUUAAAGUAAGAAAAAAAAACUUUCAUUAUUGCCUCCUUUACCCAGCUUUGAAAUUAGCUCAGAACCAAUAAUACACAUUUUAUGUAUGCCUUUUGAGUGUAGUGAUGUGACCACUCAGCUGUUAGUUGUAACUUAUGUAUCUUGUAGUAUCACAGAUUUGAAUUAGUUAAAAA